GGUAUAGACCCGAAACCCGGUGAUCUAGCCAUGGGCAGGUUGAAGGUUGGGUAACACUAACUGGAGGACCGAACCGACUAAUGUUGAAAAAUUAGCGGAUGACCUGUGGCUGGGGGUGAAAGGCCAAUCAAACCGGGAGAUAGCUGGUUCUCCCCGAAAGCUAUUUAGGUAGCGCCUCGUGAAUUCAUCUUCGGGGGUAGAGCACUGUUUCGGCUAGGGGGCCAUCCCGGCUUACCAACCCGAUGCAAACUACGAAUACCGAAGAAUGUUAUCACGGGAGACACACGGCGGGUGCUAACGUCCGUCGUGAAGAGGGAAACAACCCAGACCGCCAGCUAAGGUCCCAAAGUCAUGGUUAAGUGGGAAACGAUGUGGGAAGGCACAGACAGCCAGGAUGUUGGCUUAGAAGCAGCCAUCAUUUAAAGAAAGCGUAAUAGCUCACUGGUCGAGUCGGCCUGCGCGGAAGAUGUAACGGGGCUAAACCAUGCACCGAAGCUGCGGCAGCGACACUAUGUGUUGUUGGGUAGGGGAGCGUUCUGUAAGCCUGCGAAGGUGUACUGUGAGGUAUGCUGGAGGUAUCAGAAGUGCGAAUGCUGACAUAAGUAACGAUAAAGCGGGUGAAAAGCCCGCUCGCCGGAAGACCAAGGGUUCCUGUCCAACGUUAAUCGGGGCAGGGUGAGUCGGCCCCUAAGGCGAGGCUGAAAAGCGUAGUCGAUGGGAAACGGGUUAAUAUUCCCGUACUUGGUAAAGCUGCGAUGUGGGGACGGAGCAGGUUAGGUUAGCGUGCUGUUGGAUAUGCACGUUUAAGUUGGUAGGUGGGGAGUUUAGGCAAAUCCGGACUUCCUUAACACUGAGAGAUGAUGACGAGGCUCUACGGAGCUGAAGUAACUGAUACCACACUUCCAGGAAAAGCCACUAAGCGAAAGGCUUUACUAAACCGUACUGAAAACCGACACAGGUGGUCAGGUAGAGAAUACUCAGGCGCUUGAGAGAACUCGGGUGAAGGAACUAGGCAAAAUAGCACCGUAACUUCGGGAGAAGGUGCGCCGGCGUAGAUUGUAGUCCCUCGCGGGCGAAGGUUGAACCGGUCGAAGAUACCAGCUGGCUGCAACUGUUUAUUAAAAACACAGCACUCUGCAAACACGAAAGUGGACGUAUAGGGUGUGAUGCCUGCCCGGUGCUGGAAGGUUAAUUGAUGGUGUAAUCGAAAGAGAAGCUCCUGAUCGAAGCCCCAGUAAACGGCGGCCGUAACUAUAACGGUCCUAAGGUAGCGAAAUUCCUUGUCGGGUAAGUUCCGACCUGCACGAAUGGCGUAAUGAUGGCCAGGCUGUCUCCACCCGAGACUCAGUGAAAUUGAACUCGCUGUGAAGAUGCAGUGUACCCGCGGCAAGACGGAAAGACCCCGUGAACCUUUACUAUAGCUUGACACUGAACACUGGUCCUUGAUGUGUAGGAUAGGUGGGAGGCUUUGAAGCGUGGACGCCAGUCUGCGUGGAGCCGCCCUUGAAAUACCACCCUUUAAUGGCUGGUGUUCUAACGUAGACCCGUGAUCCGGGUUGCGGACAGUGUCUGGUGGGUAGUUUGACUGGGGCGGUCUCCUCCCAAAGAGUAACGGAGGAGCACGAAGGUUAGCUAAUCCUGGUCGGACAUCAGGAGGUUAGUGCAAUGGCAUAAGCUAGCUUGACUGCGAGAGUGACGGCUCGAGCAGGUGCGAAAGCAGGUCAUAGUGAUCCGGUGGUUCUGAAUGGAAGGGCCAUCGCUCAACGGAUAAAAGGUACUCCGGGGAUAACAGGCUGAUACCGCCCAAGAGUUCAUAUCGACGGCGGUGUUUGGCACCUCGAUGUCGGCUCAUCACAUCCUGGGGCUGAAGUAGGUCCCAAGGGUAUGGCUGUUCGCCAUUUAAAGUGGUACGCGAGCUGGGUUUAGAACGUCGUGAGACAGUUCGGUCCCUAUCUGCCGUGGGCGUUGGAGAAUUGAUUGGGGCUGCUCCUAGUACGAGAGGACCGGAGUGGACGCACCACUGGUGUUCCGGUUGUGUCGCCAGACGCAUUGCCGGGUAGCUAAGUGCGGAAGAGAUAAGUGCUGAAAGCAUCUAAGCACGAAACUUGCCAAGAGAUGAGUUCUCCCAGAUUAUAAAUCUGUAAGGGUUGUUUAAGACUAAGACGUAGAUAGGCAUGGUGUGUAAGCGGUGCGAGCCGUUGAGCUAACAUGUACUAAUUGCCCGAGAGGCUUAACUAU
rnacentral:rRNA from 1 species